rnacentral:rRNA from 1 species
CCCUUAGAUGUUCUGGGCUGCACGCGCGCUACACUGAUGCGCUCAACGAGUUUUAACCUUGCCUGGAAAGGUUGGGUAAUCUUUUUAAAACGCAUCGUGAUGGGGAUAGAUUAUUGCAAUUAUUAAUCUUCAACGAGGAAUUCCUAGUAAGCGCGAGUCAUCAGCUCGUGCUGAUUACGUCCCUGCCCUUUGUACACACCGCCCGUCGCUCCUACCGAUUGAAUGGUCCGGUGAAGCGUUCGGACCGUGGCCUUUGGACGGUUCGCCGUCUGUUGGCUGCGGGAAGUUCGUUAAACCUUAUCAUUUAGAGGAAGGAGAANUCGUAACA